GACGAACGCUGGCGGCGUGCUUAACACAUGCAAGUCGAGCGGAAAGGCCCUUCGGGGUACUCGAGCGGCGAACGGGUGAGUAACACGUGAGUAACCUGCCCCAGACUUUGGGAUAACCCCCGGAAACGGGGGCUAAUACCGGAUACGACACAGCUUCGCAUGGGGUCUGUGUGGAAAGUUUUUCGGUUUGGGAUGGGCUCGCGGCCUAUCAGCCUGUUGGUGGGGUGAUGGCCUACCAAGGCGGCGACGGGUAGCCGGCCUGAGAGGGCGACCGGCCACACUGGGACUGAGACACGGCCCAGACUCCUACGGGAGGCAGCAGUGGGGAAUAUUGCACAAUGGGCGGAAGCCUGAUGCAGCGACGCCGCGUGAGGGAUGACGGCCUUCGGGUUGUAAACCUCUUUCAGCAGGGACGAAGCGUAAGUGACGGUACCUGCAGAAGAAGCGCCGGCCAACUACGUG
rnacentral:rRNA from 1 species